CCUAGAUCUGUUGUUCUUACUUUUCUAGUUAUCUCAGGUUUCCAAAGUCCCCAGGCUGUUUGGUUGGGGGUGGGGAGGAUGGAUAAGACAGCCAAAAAGGGUAGCAGCCUCUGAUCCUACUUGAGGGUAGCCUCACUUCUCCCACUCUACCUUUCCUUCCUUAGAGGUAGUUGUCUGCUAUAGGAUGAAAAGCAUCCUUCCUUCUUGCUUUCAUAUUCAACCCUUUCUUUCUUCUCUUUACAAAUCCAAGAAGGUAGGAAAGGACCCUUUUGGAGAAACGAGACCACCUCUGCCUCAGCCAGUGCAGCCACCGAAUGAAAAUUCAGAGCGGCGGCUCCCUGGAGUUUCAGGAGGAGACCAGACCGGUAUGAAUAAAUAAUCCACAUUUCAAGCAGGAUUAGGACUAUAAAUGAAAGAUGAAAAGCACAUCAGGGUACCAAUUUGUCACACAUCUACACACAAAAGUGCAGCCUUGUUUUUCUCCUUAUCCCAGCUUACCCCACUUCCCACUGUACUUUGCGGCCAAACAUACACAACCCUGGAAAAGAUUUUUUAAAGUGGGGCAGAGAAAGCAAGACAGAGAGCUGCCAGCCAGACAGACAGUCCCAGUGGGAGAAAGAAGAUUCCUAAUCAAAAGGGAGGUGUUCUCAUCACUUCUGGAAGAACAUACUACACCCUGACAGAAGGAGAGGGGGCAUUGUUUCAGCUGUCUGCCAGUCUCCCUGGGGCCUGGGGAGACACAGCUCCUCUCCAUCAGUUCUUCUUGGGGGUAACAGCAGCCCCCAGGCCUCAGGCUGCCCUGGAGGGAUGGCCACUGGCGCUUCUGUAACCAGGACAACGAGAGAGGCCUUCUUAACAAGAAUAACCUGGUAAUCAGGAGUCAAGACACCCAGACACAAGUAAAUGCAUCCCCCACACACUCCCAUCCAUCUCUUAAAAUUAUUCAUCUAAGACCAUUACAAUCUUACUAUGUUAACUUAGUAUGGUGCUAGGUUUCCCAGAUAAAAUAUUGAACUCUCAGUUUUAACUGGGAGUUAGAAUCUGA
ensembl:lncRNA